UACGAGGGGGGCAAGCGUUGUUCGGAAUUAUUGGGCGUAAAGGGCGCGUAGGCGGUGCGGUAAGUCACCUGUGAAACCUCUAGGCUCAACCUAGAGCCUGCAGGCGAAAACUGCCGUGCUUGAGGGUGGGAGAGGUGCGUGGAAUUCCGAGUGUAGAGGUGAAAUUCAUAGAUAUUCGGAGGAACACCAGUGGCGAAGGCGACUUACUGGACGAUUGUUGACGCUGAGGUGCGAAAGCGUGGGGAGCAAACAGG
rnacentral:rRNA from 1 species